GAGGGUAUAGCUCAGUGGUAGAGCGUGUGCCUAGCACGCACAAGGGCCUGGGUUCAAUCCUCAGCACCUCCA
rnacentral:tRNA from 1 species